CCGAGCCCUCGCGACCGCGGGGUUCCGGACCGGAGUGGCUAGGUCCAGACGGGAGCCUCUGGGUUCUACGAGCGCGCCGGGUCCGCCCUGAGCAGGCUGAGGUGUGGCGGGCUGCCGGGCGGCGCGGCGUCCUGACGGCUGGGGCGGGCCCGGAGCUGCCGAGCCGGGUGGACAGGUGGGCGUGGGCAAGCGCGGCCGGCGGAACUGGCUGGCCGUCCCGCCGAGGCCCUGACCCCUGGGGGUGCACUGGCUGCCGGGGUCAGAUGCACGCUGACCUUUCUCCGGAGGAAAGAUAAAUUAUUAUGGUUGUGGGUGAGCGUCAGUGCAAAUGUUUUCCCGAGUCCUCCUCCGGCUCCGGGUGCUGUUUGAAUCCCCCGCAUUCCUCAGCCCUGGGCAGGGAGCGGCAGCGGCCUUUGUGUCUCAGGGGAGCGCAUGCCACCUCGGAGGAGACAGCGGACCAGAGUUAAAGAACAGGGAGGACAUUAGCGUGAGAUUUUUGUUUUUUCAAAAUCUUUUAAAGGGUCCCAGUGAAACUAGAAACGUAAAACUUAACUUCAACAGCAAAUGUUGUGGGUUUUACAGACGUCUGUUUCUUUGUCUUUUUCAUGCCCUCCUCCCUGCCAAAAAUAUUUGUUCGCUGGAGAGCAUAUCCCGAAACAGCGAUUUACCCCCAUUCAUCCAGUGUGAAGAUGUGUUUUCUCUCUGCCAGUUGGAUUUCUGCUUUUGUGGGAGAGAAGAGCAUCUGCCCCCCAUGCUUUGUCUGCUCCGCGACGGCCAUGGCACAGCAGAGCUACAUAAGGAAGCUUUUCAGCCCAGGAGCCGGGUGUUGAACUCGUGCCAUGGGGAAUGAAUUCUUCAAUAGACCCCUCGUCCUCUGCUGGAAGUUAAAGAGGGGCGGUUUGCAGAAAAGCAUAUGUGUGCGAAUGUGUCUUCCUGUCCUGGCGUUCCGUUCUUUUGUGCCUUUAAGUUCUGCUUCUGUGUGGACUCGUUUUUUUUUUUAUUGCUAUGAGUUCCCUGGUGGCAGUGCAGCUCAGGACCCUCGCCAGCCUACACACACACACACACACACACACACAAUGUAGCUCCUACUGAUAGCAGCAGUGUAAACUGAUUCUGACAGUUAAGAGCUUUAUUCCUGCUGAGCAAUGACUGGCUCUUACAGAAUUAGUUUGCAAAGCUAGCAAUUAGAUAACUAAUGUCCAUGAUACUGUAUUGCUAAAGGGAAAAUCCAGUAUUGCUAGAAAUCAAGUAUGGACUCCACAGAGUUGUUUUUAUGGGGAAUAUGUGUGUGUGUAUGUGUGCGCGCGCGCCAGUAGAGAAGCCACUGUACAGUGGAGGGUUUAUAGAUGGCUUCAGUCACUGUCAUUUAUCAUUGGAUUCUGAUUUACGUAAAGGCUCCAUCUAUAUCAGUUUGAGCAGUGAAUCGGUUACCAAACUAUAAUUCAUAAUAACUCAUUAGUUUAUUGAUAAAGGCUUAAAAGCAGUCUGAAAUAUCCAGAAUACCUGUGAUUCUCAGUCAUAAAUGCUCCAAGAACUAUUUUGUAUUUAGCUUUAGGUUGAACCAUUCCUCCAGUAAUUGUCAUUGAGACACAAGGAGAAGUGGGGAGUGGUUACCCAGGCCUCUGCUCCAAGAAUAGGGAUGUGGGGUAGGAAGAUCAGGAUUUAUAUAAGUUCAAGAAAAAGAAAAAGGUACCAAAAUAAUACUCUGAAUCAUGUGUUGUGAUAUCCCAUGUAAGAAUAAACAGACAUGGCCAUCAUGAUGGUAAUAAUCCAUAACCUGAAUAUGAGGGGACAGGGACUUAGGCUGGAAGAUUGCAAAUCCUUGGGCAACUUAGGAAAACCAUGUCUCAAAAUCAGGGCUUACUGAGGCUGUGGUUGAGUGUUACAGAGGGUCCUGACACACAUGAGGCCCUGGGUUCUGUCAUCGUAUCAGAAAAAGAAUUAUGCCUAAAGAAAGUCAAAUGAUGUGUAAAAAUAAAAUCAUGAUCCUUCUUGGUUCAUAGCACGAUGACUGGUCAUGCAUGAUGGCAUGAUAUAGAAAAGAAGGAAGAAAAGCCUAAGAUUCUGUACGUUUUGUUAACCACAUCCGUACAGAAUCAGUGAAGGAUGAUUGUGUGUGACGCCAGAGAAGGCUGCCCUGGAUGAGGCCGACUUUAUAAUCUGCUGAUCGGUUUUGAAAUUUGUUUCCACUUUAUAUUUAGCUCCUGAUUUCCCCUUCUAAAUGUGUUAAAAUAGUUAUAUAUUAAAGAAUAAGAACCAUCAGUUAGCUUGUUUUUCUCUCUUUUUUGACAGUCUCCUGUAUCUCAGGCUGGCCUUGUCAUUAAGUAGCCAAAGAUGGAUGACUCGACCUUCGAACCCUCCUCCCUUUGUUCUCCAGAAUAGCAGACUGGGGUGGGGGGGGGGGGUGUCACUACUUCCAGCUUAUGCAGUACUGGGGGUUUGAACACUUGGCUUCCUGUAUGCCUGACAAGUCCUCUACCAACUGAACUACAUCCCUAGCCCUUUGAAAUUUAUUUUUAAUAAAGUAUUUUUAAAAACCAAA